GCGCCGCGCGCGAGGCGGAGCGAGGCGCCCGCCGCCGCCGCCGCGGCAAGCUGAGGGGCGAGAACCUGUCUCCGUGCCGCCGCUGACAGUAGGACGCUGUGGGCUGUGCUUGCCGCCCAGAAGGCCCUGCCGCGCCUUUCCGGGGCGCAGACCCGCCGGGGGGCGUCCAAGCGCAGCGAGGUGUUCUGGGAAUCGCGGGCGGCCGCGCUCCUCACAGGAGACCCCGGGGGCGGGGGCUGGACCCCGAGGUGCGGCGAGCCCCUCAUCGCGGCAGUUUUGGUAAUACACAAUAGCACAACCAUGUUUCGGAAUAGUCUCAAGAUGCUUCUUACUGGUGGGAAAUCAAGUCGCAAAAACAGGUCAAGUGAGAGAAUAUAGUUGUUUUCACAUCUAUACAGACAUACCAUGGCAUGUUGGAGAGCUCUACACACUUUUGGGAGACAAAAAAGGAAUAAAUUCCAAGGUAAAGUUGAAGUAAUCUCUGACUUCAAACUUCUUCCACUUAAGUUGAUAUAGCUCACCUACAUUCUUGGUCCUAAUUUAACACAGUUUCCUUUACCGGGAAUUUCUUAGUAAGCAUAGAUAUCUCUAUAGAUAAGCACUUCUUAGAUUCAUAGAACAAUGGAGCUGGAAAGGACUUAGAGCUUGUUUGUUUCGUUUUCUCAAUUUAUACUUUUUAAUGUUCUUUGAAAUUGGAACUUUGGGGGGAAAAAAAGCCCAGUGUAAUGACUAGUUAAAAAUAUGAUUAUAAUAUAAUAAAACUGGUUAAAAAUGUAAUUAAACAUCAACAAUGAUAAGUCAUGUUGAUAGUAUGUACUCUUGAUAUGAUGUGAUGAGAAUAGCAGUUUACCUCUGUGGUCUUCCUCCCAAAAACCCAUAACCCUAGAUUAAUCAUGAGAAAAACAUUAGACAAAUGUGUAUUGGGAUUUGUCUACAAAAUACCUAACCAGUAAUCCUCAUAACCAUUUUGGUCAUCAAAAACAAGGAAAGUCUGAGAAACUGUCAAAGGUCUAGAGGAGACAUAAAUACUAAAUGUGAUAUAGUAUCCUGGUUGGGACCCUGAAACAGAAAAAGGACAUUAGAUAAAAACUGAGGAAAUCUAAAUAAAAUGUGGACUUUAGUUAAUAAAAGUAUACCAAUAUUGGUUCAUUAGUUGUGACAAAUUACCAUACUAAUAAUGUAAAAUGGGAAAAUGAGUGUGGGGUUUAUGGAAUCUUUCUGUACUAUCUUCAUAACUUUUCUGUAAAUCUAAAACUAUUGUAAAAAAGUUUAUUUUUAAAAAGCAAACUGUAUAUAUAUACACACACACACACACACACACACAUACAAAAUUGUAGACACCUCAUUUUUAACAGCCUGUUAGUUUAGUUCAGUUGUAGGCUGGACUUUUUGUAUAGUUAUGGUGACACCUUGAAAGCACAGUCAUCAACUUUUAAAAUACUGACAUUAUUACUGGUGAUUGCUCCAUUUACAAUUGGCACAUUUAUUUUGCUUUCCUCAUACUAGUUAUCACUGAUGCAUAGCUACAUCAUGAGAAUCAAAACAUUUUAUGUUUAGCAGAACUUUUCUUGAGCUACAUAUAGAUCAGACUGUUUCUGGGAUAUUGUGGAUGCUAAGGUGAGUACAGAUUAAUAACUCAUAUGGGGAUGUUAUUUUUCUUUUAUAGAUUUAGAGUUAUGUAGAUCUAUUAAAACCUAUGAACUUUUCACCUUUAUAUUCAGGCAAGUUUUGAAAAUGUUUUAUAGUAUAUUUUUUAAGAGCGUUAACUAUGGCGCUGACAAUAUUAUGUUAAUAAGUUUAUUUUAUUUGGUGUAGUAUGCUUCCUUUUGUCUUUAGAAGAAGAGGUACUGUAGAGGUUUCUACAGAACCAACUCAGUUUUAGGUGGUUUUGGGCUUACCUGUGAAAAUUCCUAUUGAUAGAUAAAGGUCAUUGAGGUUGAUAUGGAGGAUGAAGCGCACUGGGCUUUGGAAUUAUGCUGCUCAUCUUUUUAUAGUGUCAGUUUGUUUGGGUAAGAAAAGGAAGAUAGUGGACUUCUUAAACUGUAUCUCAAACCAUAUCAGUAACACAGUUUUUUCUUAAAUUUGAUUAUAUGAACGUAUUAACUGUAGAGCUGGCCCUUGACAAUAUAAUUCAACAAGUGUUUAAGAAUACUCACACUGUAUGAGACUCCAUGUUGACACUGAAACUACCAAGAUGAGAAGACUUUCAGAGACACAUUUUGAGCUUCUUACAGUCCAGAGAUAGUCACAUAAAUAGUUAACUGCUAUAUAAUGUGGCAAUUGUGGGAGUACAGCUAUAUAUAAUGUGUUAUGGAAGCAUGGAAGAGGGAACAAUUAAUUAUUCCUGGUAAGCAUACAGAAAGUCUUUAUAGAAAAGAAAAAAAAAGGAAAGAACAUUUAAGCUGUCUUUAGGUGAGUGGAUGUUGUUGUUGAUUAUGAUGAUAGGUGAAGAUUCCAGUUAUCAUUUAAUAAGUGUUUACUUUGUACCAGGUGUCAUGCUGUGUUUUAUGCACAUUAGUACAACAACCCCAUAGAAUAUUACUGUAUCAGAUAAGGAAACUGAGGUUUAGAGAAUUUAAUUAAUUUUCUUAAGGUCACAUAGAUAGUUUAAAGAUUUAGUCCCACUCAGCAUUACUGGACACCAAGCACUAUUAAUACCUGUUGAAUACAAUUUUAUUAUAUAGUCAAGUAGAGAGAGCUGCGCUUUCGGUAGAGGAAACAGUAUUAAUAAUUGAUAGAGAAAAUAAUGCAUUUUCUCUUUGAAUAUCAUCAAGCAGUUUGGUGAUGCUAGAAUAUAAUGGGCUGUAUUAUUUAGGAUUCUAUGGUUGCAAGUAACAGAAUAUUUGACCCAGAAUUUCUAAUACCAGGGAUUAGCAAACUUUUUCUGUAAAGGGCCAGAUAGUAAAUAUCUUGAGCUUUGUCACAACUGCUAAACUCUGUUGUGUAGCACAAAAGCAGCCGUAUACUAUAUGUAAAUGAGUGAGCGUGACAGUGUUCUAAUAAAACGUUAUUUAUGGAUACUGAAAUAUCAAUUAAAUGUAAUUUUCACAUGUAACAAAAUAUUAUUCUUCCUUUGAUUUUUUAAAAAAUCAUUUAAAAAUGUAAAAACCAUUCUUAGUAUUCAUUGGUCGUCCAAAAACAGGUGGCAGGCCAGAUUUGCCCAGUGAAUUGCAGUUUGCUGACACUUGGCUUAUAUGAUAAAGAGGAUUUACUGAAUAAUAUAAUUGCAGUCCAGAGAUAGAAUUGUUUUUGUUAGUAAUUCAGUGAUUGCAACAAGGAAUCUGUUGUCUUCCAUCUGUCCACAUUAUCUUUCACAAUGUUGACUUCAUCCUAUGUUUUAUUCUAUCAAUGUUUACAAGAUGGCAGCCAGCAUAUUCAGGGGCUCCACAAAUCUUCCCUGACUAAGGAAAGAGAAAGAAGACCUUUUUCAGAAGCUCUUUCUAAUCUCUCUUGAACUUAAUCCCAUCAGGUUUUACCUCCACCACUCCACAGAAACCAGGCUAAAUUAUCUACAUUAGCUAAAUUCAGUGGUCAAGUCUUAGUCUUCAUAUUACUUGACCAAUCAACAUUUGGUCGUUUCCCCUCUUUACUUGACUUCUAUACUCUUCUGGUUUUGUCUCUCUUCUCUGUCCACUACUUCUUACUCUCUGCUGGCUCCUCCUCAUGCCCCCAGCCUCUACCUUUUAGAUUCAACAUCAAGGCUUAGUCUUCUGACCUUUUUUCUCUUUCUCUGUUUCUCUCUUAUUGAUGCUCCCUUUCUUGGGGAUCUCAUACAGUUUAAAUCUGAUUUAUAUGUUGAUGGCUUAUAUAUAAGUAUUUCUGCUUAUAUGUCUAAUAGGCAUCUCAAACAUAAUAUGACCCAAACUGAGCGCGAGGUACCCCUUUCAUCCCUGAACCUGUUCUCUCAGUCUUUUCCAUCUCAUGAAAUUGCAGAUCCAUUCUUCGGGCCAAAACUAUUGGAAUUAUCCUUGACUUCUUUCUUUCUCUUAUUCUUCUGACAGCAAAUUCUUUUAACUGUACUGUCAGAAUAUAUCGAGAAUCUGACCUCUUCUUACCACUUCCACUGCCUGCUUAG